GCCGAUGUUAAGAGAGUAUACAGGUGG
rnacentral:piRNA from 1 species